UUAAGUUCAGCGGGUAGUCCUACCUGAUUUGAGGUCACAUUAAUGAAAAUUUGUCCAAGUGAAUGGACUGUUAGAAGCCGAAAUGCUUCACGUCAAUAGCGUAGAUAGUUAUCACACCAAUGAACGGUCAACAAAUUGUUCCGCUAAUGCAUUUCAGAGGAGCUGACCUCAGAAGAGAGAGAGGCCAGCAAACCCCCACA
rnacentral:misc_RNA from 1 species